AUUGAACGCUGGCGGAAGGCUUAACACAUGCAAGUCGAACGAGUGGCGGACGGGUGAGUAAUAUCUGGGAACCUGCCUGGUGGCGGGGGAUAACUACUGGAAAGGGUAGCUAAUACCGCAUACUAUCAGAGUGGCCCAGAUGGGAUGAGCUCGUUGGUGGGGUAACGGCUCAACAAGGAGACGAUCCCUAGCUGGUGUGGGAGGGUGACCAGCCACACGGGGACUGAGACACGGUCCAGACUCCGACGGGAGGCAGCAGUGGGGAAUUUUGGACAAUGGGGUCAAGCCUGAUGCAGCCAGCCCGCGUGGAUGAAGAAGGCCUGCGGGUUGUAAAGUACUUUCAGCGGGGAGGCGGUACCCGCAGAAGAAGCACCGGCUAACUCCGUGCCAGCCGCCGCGGUAAUUC
rnacentral:rRNA from 1 species